UCGAGAAACACAAGUACAAGAGAGAGAGCCCAGGAAGACAACGCUUCAGCAUGAGCGGGGUUGCAGCUUCCCCACCCUUCAGCUUCUCUUCUCUUCAAUCAAAGAACCACUCUACCAGGUUUAGUCAUGGACUUUGCGCAGUUAAUCCGAGUAUCUCGUCUUUACCAGAUACUAAGCUCAAGAAACAAUUGGGUCUUCGAUUUGGAGCUCCGACGAGAACGCCCCAUGGAAUCAGCGUCCGGUGCAAUAGCAGCACAAGACCCGGCGGCCCUGGCUCCGGGGAUAAUGAGAGCAGGAGUGUUCUGGAUGCAUUUUUCUUGGGAAA
rnacentral:misc_RNA from 1 species